rnacentral:rRNA from 1 species
CAGUCGCCGCGGUAAUACGUAGGGUGCAAGCGUUAAUCGGAAUUACUGGGCGUAAAGCGUGCGCAGGCGGUUCUAUAAGACAGAUGUGAAAUCCCCGGGCUCAACCUGGGAACUGCAUUUGUGACUGUAGAGCUGGAGUACGGCAGAGGGGGAUGGAAUUCCGCGUGUAGCAGUGAAAUGCGUAGAUAUGCGGAGGAACACCGAUGGCGAAGGCAAUCCCCUGGGCCUGUACUGACGCUCAUGCACGAAAGCGUGGGGAGCAAACAGGAUUAGAUACCCGAGUAGUCCCUGUCUCUUAUAC